rnacentral:rRNA from 1 species
AGAGUUUGACCCUGGCUCAGGAUGAACGCUAGCGGCAGGCCUAAUACAUGCAAGUCGAACGGGUUGGUUCAGCAAUGGACCGAUCAGUGGCGCACGGGUGCGUAACGCGUAUGCAACCUACCUUAAACUGGGGGAUAGCCUUCCGAAAGGGAGAUUAAUACCGCAUAAUACUAUUUGAUGGCAUCUGAAGAUAGUUAAAGAUUUAUUGGUUUAAGAUGGGCAUGCGUGCCAUUAGCUAGUUGGUAGGGUAAAGGCCUACCAAGGCUACGAUGGCUAGGGGUUCUGAGAGGAUGAUCCCCCACACUGGUACUGAGAUACGGACCAGACUCCUACGGGAGGCAGCAGUAGGGAAUAUUGGGCAAUGGACGGAAGUCUGACCCAGCCAUGCCGCGUGCAGGAAGAAGGCCUUCUGGGUUGUAAACUGCUUUUAUCUGGGAAGAAAACACCUAUGCGUAGGAAACUGACGGUACCAGAUGAAUAAGCACCGGCUAACUCCGUGCCAGCAGCCGCGGUAAUACGGAGGGUGCAAGCGUUGUCCGGAUUUAUUGGGUUUAAAGGGUGCGUAGGCGGCCCGGUAAGUCAGUGGUGAAAGCCUCCAGCUCAACUGGAGAACUGCCAUUGAUACUGUCGGGCUUGAGUACAGACGAGUUGGCGGAAUUGAUUGUGUAGCGGUGAAAUGCAUAGAUACAAUCAAGAACUCCGAUUGCGUAGGCAGCUAACUAGGCUGUAACUGACGCUGAGGCACGAAAGCGUGGGGAGCGAACAGGAUUAGAUACCCUGGUAGUCCACGCUGUAAACGAUGAUUACUCGAUGUCGGCGAUAAACAGUCGGCGUCUUAGCGAAAGCGUUAAGUAAUCCACCUGGGGAGUACGCCCGCAAGGGUGAAACUCAAAGGAAUUGACGGGGGCCCGCACAAGCGGUGGAGCAUGUGGUUUAAUUCGAUGAUACGCGAGGAACCUUACCUAGGCUAGAAUGCGCGUGACCGCCUCAGAGAUGAGGCUUUCCUUCGGGACACAAAGCAAGGUGCUGCAUGGCCGUCGUCAGCUCGUGCCGUGAGGUGUUGGGUUAAGUCCCGCAACGAGCGCAACCCCUAUCUUUAGUUGCCAGCAUGUAAUGAUGGGGACUCUAAAGAGACUGCCUGCGCAAGCAGUGAGGAAGGUGGGGAUGACGUCAGGUCAUCAUGGCCCUAACGCCUAGGGCUACACACGUGCUACAAUGGGCGGUACAGAGGGUUGCUACCUGGUGACAGGAUGCCAAUCUCAAAAAGCCGCUCUCAGUUCGGAUUGAAGUCUGCAACUCGACUUCGUGAAGCUGGAAUCGCUAGUAAUCGCGUAUCAGCAAUGACGCGGUGAAUACGUUCCCGGGCCUUGUACACACCGCCCGUCAAGCCAUGGAAGUCAGGGAGACCUGAAGACGGUGCCCGUUAAAGGAGCCGUUUAGGGUAAAACUGGUAACUGGGGCUAAGUCGAAACAAGGUA